CCAUUCCAGUAAGACACGCAUGCGUACAGUUAGUUCAGAAUGCACAAUUCCACGAAAACGAAGGAAGUGAAGACAUUCUUGUUAUUGUUGUUGUUGUGGUGGUCUAGCUAAACGACCCCUUCUACCUCAUCAUGUCGACCUUUCGUGUUCUUUUCUGUCUCGCCCUACUCGGCUUGACUGGAUCGUUCGUGGCAGGACAAGCAGGACCAACGGCUCCUCCACCGCAAGCAGGAACAACGGCUCCUGCACAGCAAGCAGGAACAACAGCUCCUGUAUCGUCUACCGAACCUAAUAAUACGACGGUCUCUACCAACACCAGUACUACCGCGUCCAGCUUCUCCUGUCGGAUGGCGUCUUGCACCGCUGUGUCUGUUGGCAUUCUGACCAACCCUACGUGCAAAGGCACAAUGCAGACUUGUAACGGCAGCACCACUUGCAUCUCCAUCGUCCAGUACACUGGUAUCAAGUCUGUUGGCAAGGCUUCUAUCACCCUAGGCUGCGCCACCACUGCCCAACUAUCAGAAUGCCACAGCGAGGACAACAAAGAACAGUGCAACAGUGCUACCACCAACCAGAAGUGUGUGACCUGCUGCAAAACUGCCAACUGCAACAACAAGUACGACAGCCCCGCUGCUUCAGUGGUCGCCUCGUUGCCUCUUCUUGCUGCCGCCAUCAUCUCUUCCAUGAUGUUGUAAAUGUUGACAGCGCAAUUAUGCCCGGUGAGUGAAUAGCCUGCUCACAGGUGCAGUACUUGUAGACUGUUGGUGAAAUGCUACCACUACAAUCAUGUAGUUUAGCAGGCCGGUUCAUGAUCUUCCAAAUUGUUUCAGGAGAAUGCUGUUGUCCUCGCCGUGUCACGCUUGGUAAUAUUUUCGCUCUUCACUCUCUUUUUUCCUAUUUUCUUACUGGAUUUCCUAUUUUUGGUGACAUUCACACUCCUUGGAUUUUCUAAGGUCAAAGAUUAUGUUGAUUAUGUAUUGCCCGCAAGACUACUGGGUCAGAUAUUCUGAUAUGUCAGUUUUCCAGGCUUGCUGUGUAUUCGGUAUAGUUUCUAACGAAUGUAGCUGGUGGAUGUCUUUGGAAUUGAAUGCCAGGAAUCACAA